UUCCGCAAUGGACGAAAGUCUGACGGAGCAACGCCGCGUGAGUGAUGAAGGUUUUCGGAUUGUAAAACUCUGUCAUUAGGGAAGAAAAGGUAUAGGAGGAAAUGACUAUAUCGUGACGGUACCUAAAGAGGAAGCCCCGGCUAACUACGUGCCAGCAGCCGCGGUAAUACGUAGGGGGCAAGCGUUGUCCGGAAUUAUUGGGCGUAAAGCGCGUGCAGGCGGUAUUUUAAGUCUGAUGUGAAAGCCCACGGCUCAACCGUGGAAGGUCAUUGGAAACUGGGAUACUUGAGUGCAGGAGAGGAAAGCGGAAUUCCAUGUGUAGCGGUGAAAUGCGUAGAUAUAUGGAGGAACACCAGUGGCGAAGGCGGCUUUCUGGCCUGCAACUGACGCUGAGGCGCGAAAGCGUGGGUAGCAAACAGGAUUAGAUACCCUGGUAGUCCACGCCGUAAACGAUGAGUGCUAGGUGUUAGAGGUUUCGAAGCCUUUAGUGCCGGAGUUAACAUAUUAAGCACUCCGCCUGGGGAAUACGACCGCAAGGUUGAAACUCAAAGGAAUUGACGG
rnacentral:rRNA from 1 species